ensembl:lincRNA 1700020I14Rik RIKEN cDNA 1700020I14 gene
GCCUCCGCCCCUGGGUUGGCGGACAGGGGAAGGAGCGAAGAUGGCGGAGUGAGGCGUGCCCCGGGCAGCUGGCCUGCGGGCCCGGGGCAGGCCUCCCGUGAGAAGCGGAGUACUUGUGCUGGACCGUGUGAGGAUCCAUAUCACACAAGAUGAAUAUUUUCCUGACCUUAGGUGCUUUUAUAUUCAGCUCAACAUUCUGAACUCAGGACUUGGCACGUAAGUAGAUAGAGAUAAUCAUCCCAAGUCCUGUUGUAGCGGCUUGAAAGGCUCCAUAGAAGCGACAUACUAAACUGUUAAGAGCAACAGAAGAUGAAGAUAAAAAUGAGUACAAGCCAGCUACCAUGGCUCACCUUUAUGCCCAGCUCUUGGGACCUGGGGAACUGAGGAAUUCCUAUGUGGACUGCUCAGUGAGGCGUCCUGGUUCUUCCAUCCUGUUACUUUCCCCAGUGAGAUGCAGAUGUCUUUCGACAGAUUACCUCCAUGGUUUAGGAUGCAGAGACUGCCUUUCUUUUACGUCAGACUCAACACAGGAAAGCCGUGAGGAUGCAGCCGUCCUGUUGACUUCAGCAAGAAAACAAACCAUGGACUUGGGUCUUCUGCAGCUUUUGAAUUGGAAAGACGGUGUUUGCAAGUAGAAGGAAGAUGCUGAAUUUGAAACAAGUGCUUAGGUUCUGUGGCGUGAGUUGUUUUCUUUUUAAAAGAUCCAAACAAGAAGACUGAACAAAUACCAAGUGUGGGUGACUUCAGGUUUUUUUUUUUUAAUGUCUUCCAAUUUUAACACUAUUAUAAGCACAGUUGACCGCAGUAAGUUCCAAAUAUUUAAUAUAAUUUGAAGUGAAAGAAAUGUUAUCUAAAUUCUGGCUCACUCUUUGACAGUUUUCCUGGACAAAAACAAGAUACGAUAAAAGCAGAAACCAGGUUUGGUUUUGUAUGGGAGUGAAAUCAUUACAGUUUUAUGGGUAUAAAUCUACAUUUUUAAACAAGAUUUUUCUCUUGGAGAAGAAACCUGUUGUUUAUAAGAAGGCUUUGGACAGUUUAAUAGUCUUAAAUGUUCUGCUUUGCUGUUCUAGUCCUUCUCAGGAAGGCCCAGCUGGGCCUGUGGCUAGUUCAGAAUGGGAGGAAACAUAGGCUGGGACAAUGCUCACCCUGAACUGCCAGCGUGUGGGAGGCCAAGGCAGGAAGAGCAGAUGUUCAGGGCCAGCUUGGACAUCAAGAGGCUCAAAACCAGUAGGAAAAAAAACAGAGCCCAGUAACACCCUCUUUUAUAUUCCUUUUGUGGAAUCAUGUAGCAUGUGAGACUGGGUUGGAAGGGAACUGGCAUAUGUGGUAUUUCAGUUAAGGUGAUGUGGUGGACCCUGAUGUGUAACUGGCCUUCACCUUUGGACAUACAGGAAUGAAGGAAAAACUAAGGCUUGGCAUAUAAAUCUUUUCUUCUAAGAAAAAGAAGCAAAGCUGUCUAAUGUAGCAUUGUCUGACUUUUCAACAUUUUUACUUUAUAUGGUUGCAUUUUUUUAUAAAAGUAUAAAUAAGUUCCUUCAACCCAAAAUGGGUACUUGGACAGAUUUUUUUUUCUGGGUGAUAAUGUAAUGUUACGCUGAAAAUCUGGGACUCAGGUAAAUUUUCCAAGUUUGAAUUGAGCUGUCUUACCAGAGAAUGGGCCUCAGAAGCAAUGUUCCCAGUCCUGUGGUUGGUUCACUAUAAUCUCAGAAGAAAUUUGGAAUAUGAAUCAAAUUUCAAAUAAGAAAAGCAGAUCCGAUAAGAAGUGUGGAUCUAGUUGCAAGUCACUGUAGAUUUAAAGGAAAUUUAGGGCCUGGGGUGGGGGGAUAACUCGAGAAUUCAUUCCAGUGAGAGGUGAUACGUGCUCUUUCUCCCUUUAGUAGUUAUGUUAUAAGGAACUAUUGUGGAAAUAUCUCUUCCUUCUCAAUCAAUGGAAGUUUAUUAUAUGGGAUGCCAGGCUUUUACAUGAGAGGGUACCAUUGUUUGCAACGGUUGCCAGUAGAGAAGGAGUUUUAAGCUUGUUAGAUGAGAGAGAAACAGAUGCUGUUAGAGCUGACUUCUGGAACGGGCUCUCAGUGCUGCAGGUGUUGUGAAUUUGAGUCAUAAAAAUGUUCAAAAUUAGAAAAUGUUGAACAUUCAUGGUUAGUCAGAUUGGGCAACAAAAUUGAAUUUAUGCUAAAAGCUUUUUUCAUGAAUAUUUAUUAUAAAUAACCUAUUAAUGAGAGCAAAUAAUAAUAAAAUACUAGAGAAAUAACAUGUUUAAGGUAACCUAAAUUUCUGGGCUUGGUUGCUCAACCUAUAACCACAUUUUGACGACUGAGGCAGGAGGAUAGGCCACAAAGAUCAAGGCCAGCCUGAAUGACAGACACUGUCUCAAAAUGAAACAAAAAUAUAACCCACGUUUUUCAAGUGCCCCAGCCACUUAUAUUUUUAUUUAGAAGACAAAGCCAGCUGGUGGUUGAGAGCACCUCCUAGAUGCUGAGCUGUCCUGCACCUUGCCCUUGGGCAGGCAGGGGCUGUCACUGCUAGGGAAGUGUCCCCCAUUUGCUCCAGGUGCUUCAGGGAAGUGCACUUUGUCUGAGCCGCUCCCGCAUCCUGCAUCAUUAACACCAAAUGGUGUUCACAGCAUGGGUGGAUCCCAGCCCUAAUUGCCUGGUGUGUGUGUGUGUGUGUGUGUGUGUGUGUGUGUGUGUGUGUGUGUGUGUGUGUGUGUGUGUGUGUGUGUGUGUGUGUGUGUAUGUGUGGCACAUUUCCAUUUAUAGUCUUACUUGAGUUUUCUUCUUAAUAGCAGCAAAGACUACCAUUUUAGAGUUGUGCCUCCAUUUAUAGCUGUGCCUCCUCCCUUCUCCAUGUAAGCUGGCAGUUUUUCUUUUGAAGUUUCUAAACAAAAACGGGAUAUGUGCAAUAUAUAUAAAUAUAUAUAUAAUGUAUAUUUUAAUACUUGUGGACAAGUGUUACAAGUUGUUUAAGAACAACAAAAUCACCAAUGUCUUCCAUUUUGAGAUGUGUAUAGUUUUGUAAGCAGUAGUGCUUGAUAGCAUAUUGUAGUGCCAUGUUAGGGGUUAGUGCAUGAAUUUAGUAUAAUUUUAAACUUCAAGAUGAAAUAUUGAUAAUAGCCAGUAGUGUAAAAAGUGUGGAAAAUCCUAGACCUUUACUUUUUUUGUGUAUGAAUAUUUGAUAGUCUCCCUGGGGAUAGGAGAAAAGGCCGAAACAACUAAUGUCUGAACAGAAGUGUGGGUUCCCACUGAGAGCCACUGCGCUUGGGGGAUGUUAGGCCUUUCACGGGGGAGCUAGAAUAGCUACCUCUGUAGCUCCUCAGUCCUCACAGCAAGGCCUGGGUUCAGGCUUCUCUUGCUCUCUAAGUUUGAAGCUAGAUUGGUCCUGUAUUGAUUUUGCAUUGUAUGUUUUGGGUUCACUUUUCCUCUUUUGUGUCCAGAAAAUAAUUUUCUGUUUUGCAUGUCUGAGAUGCCGUGCUGAUUGCUUUGGAAUGUUUACUCUGUGGCCAUUUCCUUUCCUGCUUGCAGCAUGUGUGCUAACUGCAAAGCCUUGUCAGCAGUUUGGCGUAUCCUGUACUUCAGGCUUUGCCCCAUUCUACAUCUGACUUGGGUGUUGAGUCCAGUCUCUCUCAUGAGAACUGAUAGCUCAGUGGGGCCCAUGUAGGUUGACAAAAAGUAUGUUGGCCUCUCCUUUGGUAAUUGUUGAGAGCUUUCACGUUUUUUCUACUUUCCUUAUGAAAAUAAAGUAGUUGCUUUGUUCUGAAAAAUAAAGUUUUCUAUAAAAUGGAAUUCCUACCUCUAAAAGCUGCCUAGGAAACUUGGAAGUAAUCAUUUUCUGAAGUGUUGUAGGGUUUUGUGGGUUUUUUUUAUUUGUUUGUUCCUUUUCUAUAAUUUUUAGAAAUAGAGUCCUGCCGGGUAUGGUGGCAGAUGCCUUCCCAGCCUUGGGAAGUUGAGGCAGUAAGAUCAGGAGUUCAAGGUCAUCCUCAGCUACGUAGUGAGUUGGAGGUCAGCCUGGGAUACAUGAGACCCUGUCUCAGAAAACCAAAAGAAAAGAGAGAAAUAAAAGCGUAUGUAGGAUUUCUUAACAUGUAUUACAUUAGUAUGAUAGGAAACGUAAAACUUCCCCCUAGAAACUAGGUCUGAGUCUAGUAUUAGAUAUGCAGGGUCCCAGGAAGAGACUCUCUUCACUCAAGAAGAUGGUCAGCACCUGGGAGAAUCUGCUUCAGAAACAAAGGGGAAGGACUUGAAAAAGUGAUGCUUAUAAAGUAGCACAGUAUAGGAAAGGACAUUUCCUACUGCAAAUCACAAAAGCCAUAGUGAACUAAUAAUACUGUCAAAGAGGUGGAAUUCUGUAGCAAUAAUAGGUAUGGAUGGAUGGUAAAUUGUGCUCACAAAGCUGUGUGGUUGAGUGGUUACUGGUUGAGUUUGUGGGGCCCUGCAGUUUAUUAUAGAGUUCCACAAAAGGAAAAACACAUCUUAGUUAAAAGGCAUUUAAACUAUGAAUGUAUAUGAAUAUAUUUGCGUGAAAAAAUACCAACUUUCAUAUAUGUGUUAAAGAUCCUAUUUUGUUUCCCCAGAGUUUACAGCUGUUGAAAUCUUUCUAGUACUUAAUCUGGAAUCCCAGUGAAGCCAACAUGUAGGGGUCUUGCUUAAAUUGUUUGUAUUAAUAGUCAUUUACUAUAUAGAAUGAUCUAUGCUUUAUUCAAAUAAUAUAACCUUUGCUCAUUGGGUUCCUGGCUACUGUUUCAAAGGGAAAAGUUUGUUUUUGUGUGUGAUUAGUGUGUCUUUGGGAUAGGGGAGCCUCAAGAACUUACUGGUAUUUCCUUGUACUUAGACUCAAGGAAGUUAGGACUAAAAGUGAACAAAAUGACUGGCAGUGCCCAGGCAGGGAGUUAUCUAAACAUCUGGUAAGUGAAUGUGAUAAGCUUGUGGCCAGUGUUCGAAUCCUUAUAUCAAAGAGAACCCAGCAGACUCAUUCCUUUCUUAUCUGAGAUGUAAAAUGGAACUAGGGCCACUCCUCAUUUCCUUUACCUCAUGGCAUGUGGCCACUUAGCACCUUCAACAUCCCUGAAAAGAUCUGGGUCUCUGUUCCUUUGUUUUCCCGGGGAAGAAAAGUCAAAAAGUAGUUUUGUAGAUCUAAGACUCUUAUUUUAUUAUAAGCCUAAGGGUAGGGAAAAGGCUACCUUGAGUGUAGUUUCUCUUUAGAUGUCCUAAACUACCCAUGUUAGCUUUUGGGACAACCAAGCAAUAUUCAGAACAACUGCAUGAUCAUGAAGACAGCUAAUUCAGUUACAGCAGAGAUCACCCUUAACAGCCAAGUAAGUUUAUGGUUCUAAAUGCAAAAAUAUGCUACAAGAUUUUGUGGUCUCAAAAUAUGUGAUUAAUUAGUAUUCAGUCUUACUGUAGUCUCUUGUUUACUCUAUGUACCUGUGAUAUGCAAAAUAUAAAAAAGACCCCCUAGCCUUCAGGUUUACAUUCUCAUGGUGCUGUAGGUGCAAGUAUACUGUCUCUAGUUUAUUCAGAACAUUGCUUGGCUACUAAUUAUACCAUUUUGGAAGAACCCCUUAGCCAAGAGUUUUAAAAUGCAGAGGGCUAUGUUGAAUUUCAGGGCAUUACUGCUUGUGUUUACACUGAUUUAGUUCUGCUCCUCAACUCUUCCCCAGGGAGCUGCUCAUUAAUACAAACCAGGAAAGAAACCAUUCUGCCCAAGUACCCUCACCACCCUCCAGCUCUCAGUAAGUGGCCAAGAAAACUUGCUCCAUAAAGACUAUCACCUCAGUUCCUUUUUCCCAGGGCUUUACACUUAUUCAUUAUCUUCCAAGGGCCAGGAUUUCUAGCUAAGCCUUUUAGAACCAAACAGAAGUCCUAAAUUUAGCUUUUUCCUGUAUGACUUGUUUGUUUUGAAGCAGCAUUAUAGUAGAUAACGGAGUACCUGACUGCAUCUCCGAGGAAUUUGACUUGACAUAUUCAGUUGAAGUUUUGCAUGUAUCAUUGCUUUUUCCCAAGAUUCUGAAACAAAGGUUUUGCAUGUGUGUUAAAACCAGGCCUGAUUGGAAGUGUAAGCAAUAGUAGCAGGCCCAUAACUGAUUCUAGAAUGCUAACAUUCUAAUGCAUGGUUGAAAAUUUUCAUUGUUAGGUAGUUAUUAGUAAUUUUAUAUAUACAUUUAUCAAUAAUGAAGCAAUAGAUACUUAAACCAAUAGCUUGGUUUUAUUGUUUAUUUUUAUUUUUUAAUUAAAGUUUGUCUUACUUCCAUUGAAAUUGGAAGUACAAGAUAAACAAGGGGCAACCACAAGACAUUCAAACUGUUAGGAAAACAGCAAGCAGUGCUCACUCUGUUUCCUGGCUCUAUUUAUUCCCAAGCAUGUUUGCAAAUAAAAGAUAAACUAAGCAUGUUGAAUAAGCUGCUGUUAUCAGGGUAGUGCAGGAUUUCAGAAGAGUAGGGAAAUAAGCCAAGUAGAGUCAUCUUCCUUCAGAAAUAACAAUGUUCAGUGUUAAAUAACUAGCUGUGGGGCUUGUCUGACUAGGUUUUUGUAGACUAAGUUCGAGGUUUCUUCAAACUAUAGAUUGAGCCAAAUUCAUGGUCUACCGUCCCCGAACAGGCAGGAACUGGCCUGAGUGUCAUAAACAGGCGCCACCAUCAGUGUGAAGUUCAGUGCUGACUGAGGACCCGGCAAGGCCCUGCAGCAAGGUGGUUUUGUAGGAUACAGAAGUUCAGGCUCAGGCUGUGCUGUGCUCUGUUUACAACUGCAGAGCUGGAGUUGUUCUUCAGAUGAGUCGGUCAAAAUGUGUCACUUGCCUGAAACUUGAUUCCUGAGGAACAGGAAAAAACUUUCUUCUUCCAAAAAAUAUAUUUAUUUGGCUAAAUGAAUAUUGGUUUGUUAUAAUAGUGAAAGGAACAGAAGUGUAAUCUACUGGCAGAACAUUUACCUGAGAAAAUGGGUUUAAUUGCAGCACUACCAAAAAAAACCUCAUGGUGGUAACAUAAGAAUUUCUUGACUUUGAAAUGCAAGUUACAAAAUGAUUUUGACAAAUGAGAAGUAUUUAUAAUGUCUGAAAGGCCUAAAUAGAUUUCAAAUAAAACUGUUUCACUGGAUUCAGUCCAAUUUACCUGUUAUAUGAUGGAAAACUAGUUCCAAAUUUAACUUUCACCAUGGUCCUUUGCUAUGGAUGUCAACUGGAAUGGUGACUCCUAACCUUCAGAACUGAACUAAAGUUGUCAGUGUGAUGGUUGCUUUCCACUGAAACACAGGAAUCGAAGUAUGUGUUGUAUCCCAAAUAGAAGUGUUCUUUGCCACUUACUAGUAAAGAUGUAAGGUCAGAGUUCUUCCUUCUAGCAUUCUCUUCCUAAUAGUCACCAAAGUCAAAGCAUCAAACGGCAAGGCUUGGUGUGUAUUUGGUAGACUCAGGCUUUAUAAGAUACCUUUAAAGGGGCUUGAGAGAUGGCUCAGCAAUUUAGAGUACUGACUGCUCUUCCAAAGGCCCUGAGUUCAAAUCCCAGCAAUCAGAUGGUGGCUCACAACCACCCAUAAUGAGAUCUGACGCCCUCUUCUGGUGUGUCUGAAGACAGCAAAAGCGUACUUAUUUUAUUUAUAAUAAUAAAUAAAUCUUUGGGCCAAAGGGAGCAGGGACUGAACGAGUGGGGCCAGCCAGAGCAAGCAGAGGACCUAAAAUUCAAUUCCCAACAACCACAUGAAGGCUCACAACCAUCUGUUCAGCUACAGUGUACUCAUAUGUAUAAAAUAAAUAAAUCUUUUUUUAAAAAGAUACUUUUAAAGGCAGAAUACAGUUAGGAUUAAUGGUGAUUUUCCAAACAUUUUGACAUCUUUGGUAAUGGUAUGCUGUAUCCUUAAUUUAAAUGUUCUUUUGUGCUUGGAACAUAGCUCUUGGAGAACACUUGGACUCAGGCCAGUCCUCAACACUUGACACCCUAUCCCAAAGAUCAGACAAGAAUUGUGUCAGUGUGUUAUCAGUCUAUAAACAACAUUACUAGUCUGAGCCUAAGCAUCCCUGUAAUGACAAAGAUUAAGAGCGGUAAUCGACUUGAGAGUGGUGCAUUUUCUGCCCUUCAAGCAUAGGUGUCAUUGUUCGCUUGCCCUUCCUUGUAUCUUGUAUUGCGCCACCAGUGUAGGAGGUGAUGUUAAAGAGCACCAGUGAAUGUUUAAAGCACUAUAAAAGGCAGCUUCUUAAUCUAUGCAUCUUUGGGAGUUUUGAAGAAAUUUGACUUCUUGGGAAAGGAACUGUUUUUUGAGAGUCUGAAACUGCACCUGUAUGUAUAUAUUUUUAGCAAUAAAGCAUGAGCAGAGAAUGCACUGAAACUUGA